CUGUUGUGGGAUAAAGUUGGCCAAUUUCAAUUAGAUUUUUGAAAUUAAAAAUGAGAUAGCAGAUAUUUUGGUUCUAGAUCUGCAUAUAAUUUCCUACAUGGCGGUGAAUCAAUCAGUUAUCCAUCAAUCAGUCAGUCAAUCCAUUUAGGGCACAUAUUAUGUUCAUCUCCAUUAUAAGGAAAAGUAAGAGCCAGGAUCCCUACUGCUAUGAGCUUUUAUUCUGUUUAAAUUCACGUUUCAAGUUGCUGAACUUUGGGUUUUUUAAACUGAGACCAGAGUUUUUGGCCUGGGUAACUUACAGAGCUGAUAAGGAAAAGAAAUGGACCAAUGAUGCAAUAAGAGUUUGAAUAAAUGCCUUUAAGAUAUCAAAUUAUUGAGACUUAAAGAGGUUGGCUGGUUUGUUCUAGGGCACUGUGCAUAAAGACAAGCACUUUAAAGUGGAGUGUUCUUAUUUCAAUCAGCGUGUUUUAAUGCUGGGUGAUAUAGGAAGAUGUGUGGGGUGACAUACAUAAUGAAAAGGUAAUUCAUAAUUACUCUACUACAUUCUAAUGCAGAAUAUGACAAAUGAGAAUUCAACUGUUCACUCUGUGAGGGCUACACUCACUCUCUAUUUAACAGACAAGGUCUCUGAUGUAGAGGCUUUCUCACCAGGACCUUGGAGAACAUUUUUGCAGUCUCCACCAUCCUGUUCUAAGGUGGGGGUGAUCUAUCCAAGGGUCAAGGAGAAGCUAGGCUCCUCUUAUUGCACUGGACCAUGCAUCUAGCUCCUUGAUUGGAGUGCGAAUCCACUGACGUGUGUGUCUUUAUUGAGUUCCUAGGGGUGUAUGUAGCACUGAUUCUAAAGAUAGAAGAGGAGCAGGACUGAGAAACCUACAUUCUGGCAAGAUUGAGAAGCACAUAUUGCCAAUUAAGGAACAAGAUAGCACAUGGCUGGUUUAACAUCUUCCAAAGUGGAUUGUUUUUGGAUAUAUUUUGCAUUUAAUCUAGUCUUCCUUGUGUUAACUGUGUCAAGACCUGUCCCUGCUACUAAUUGUAAAUUUUGGAGGAGGAAAAACUAUAACUUAUGGUAUUAUAGAACUCUCUUGAUUAAAAUCCUUUAGUAGGAGCUCUUCUUCAGGUCAUAAUAUAGUUUUGGGUACUGAACUCAUUGUCCUGUGAUAGACCGUGAUGACAUUGGACAAAUAUAUAAAAGCACUGUGCCUGCAUUGGUAAUGCUGACAGUGUACAAUUAUGGUUCCAGAUACAUGGGAGGCAAGUGAGGAGGGCCCUAUGCCCCAGCUUUUUUUCUGGAGGAGUUUUCCAGAGGACAGUGUAGGGAUAGGAAACCCAAGCAGAUCAAGGUGAUGAUGCCGGGUUGAGCAUGUAAAGAGUGAAUUUCUGAAAUGUCUGUUUCUGGCUUCUGACUGGAGGCUCUGCUUCCCAGUCUGUUAGAAUGGCCACCCUGCAGACUGUAACCCUUUAUAAGAAAUAAAGUCUCCUCUCCUUCUUUUCUAAAUUUAUAGAUUGUAUAUUUUUAAGUGAACAUAUCUGGUAAUGAGGAUGAAAUCCAUGGAGAACCCCAGGGUCUCUUGGCAUCACUGGGAGUCACCACACAGAGGCCUACAGGUCAGUUGUCUCUCCCACUGCACUGGAAAGACACCAUGAACAGCUUUUGAUUUCCUGUCUUCAAUCUGUGGAGGCUUACAGGGCUUUGGGGCCUCUGUGUGUAGACAGUAGCUGGGAAGCUGAGACCCUAGAGAAAAUGGCUGAACAAAAUGUAAGGUGUAUCCCAUUUGUGGCCAGCAGAACUUUACUUUCCUUGAGCUGCCUUUCAGUGAUUCUGAGUCUUGUGAGGACUGCUUUGCAACUCUGUGGAGAUGCCUCUCGUGUCUUCAGUUAAGUCAUAACCUUGGUUGAGGCUUACUAGUUUCACUUGAGAGAUUGCUUUGGUAAAGGUUCAGGAGCCAGGAAUAUCAGCUGUUUGUCCCAGCUAACAUCUGGUAAUAAGAGACUUGAGCGGACUUUCUUUCCUUUUAAAGAGCUCCAUAGUUAGAAGUCAUCAUAAUUAAAAACAUAUGUCCAAGCGAUUGUAACCGGCAAAGGGGUCCAGCUGCUCACCGCUUGUGAAAACAAGUCAAACCAAUCACGAGUUAUGAUAAGAGGAAGCAAGAUUCCCUUACUAUCCAUGCUGGCAAGGGAAAGAGCAGAGCACCAUUCCACUCUUUAGUUUGUGGAGGGAACACAGGCAUCUUUGAAUAAAGGGUUUGGAAUGCAGAAAAGGCAAGGGAGGCCAGCAGGUGCCACGUCACUCCAAGGGUCCUCUUGAGUUAUUGUUUCAUUUGGUGAAACGGCUGGUGUCAUCAUGGAUCCUGCCAGGUUGUAAAUGGAUCAGUAAGGCAUGCACCGCCACACCUGGCUAACUUUUUAAUUUUUUUUUUAGUAGAGGACAGGUCUCACCAUGUUGUCUAGGCUGGUCUUGAACUCCUGAGCUUAAGCAAUCCGUCUGACUCAGCCUCCCAAAGUGCGAGAUUACAGGCUUGAACCACUGCACCCGGCCUGAGACAUAUGAGCUUUCAGUGCCUUCCCCUCACUUAAUAAUCCUGCAGAGAUAAUUAUAUGCUGAUUUCCAUCAUCAUCAAUACUAUUACCUUUUUUGUGAGUUUCAUAUUAAUAGGCCGACUCCAUACUGAUCAAACUUCUGGUCUUCAGCAUCUUUUACACAAUACUAUAUUUUUAACAUUCAGCCAGGUUCUUGUGCAUCUCUAUAUUGCAGUUUGUUCUGUCUAUUGCUCUGAAUAUAUGUAUUUCAUUAUGAAAACACUGUAAUUUAUUCAUUUUCCAAGUGGUGAAAAUUUGUUUUGUUUCCAGUUUAUGACUAUUAUGAACAAAGCUUCUCCUUUGAAAGUUCAAGUAUGGCAAAAGUAAGCUAAAAACCAUACAAGUUGAAAAUGGAAAUUGAAUGAAUUAAUUUCCACUACUCAUAGGAUUUCACUAUUUGAACUCCAGUGUAGCUGUACAGAAUUAGUCUCAAUGUUUUUCUAUGCUGCAGUAAGAGCAAAAUAGAGUAUUGGCUCAGGCAAUUUAGCAGUGUUUUUUUUUUUUUUUCACCAAGACCAUAUCUUUGCUGGGCUCCCUCAGAAUUUUGUUAGCCUUUGCCCUUUCUGUUAGCUUUGGCAAACACUGAGGGAUAGAGAGCCACAUUCAUCUUGCCUAUUGAACAGACCCUGCUUAGAAUGUAUCUACUGUGUGCAGAGAUGCCAACAUCCUGUUUUUCUGCAUGGCAUUCAACUAAUACUGGAGAUCAUUUCCUAAGCCACAGAAUAAGCCCAUCAUUAAUAAAUAUAUCAUGCACAAAAUAACCCCUAGGAACUCUCUGUUCUUUUCUGUUAUCCUAACAGUGCUCAUCCUAUAAUGACAAGGGUGUGCCCAUCAUUUCCUGGAAGAUUGCCAUGGCUGCUUGGGUCCACAGUGAGUUCUGAAUCUUGGAAUUCUACAGGCAUUGAGGCUGAGAGACAGCAAAUUCAGGUGGGAGCUGGGGCCCUGAAAAACAGUAAAGUUUUGCCCAGCUGAGACCAAAGCAAGAGAUAAGGUGGCACAAAUGUUUAGAGAUUGAGUUCAAAUAGUUGGGGAAGAGGACACCACCAGAUGAGAGAGAAAUGGACCAGUGAAUGGUCUCUGCGAAUCAGACACAGCACCCGUGGGGCUUGCUGAACAAGUGGAAGGGGCAGGGCCAGCACGGGAAACAGCAUUGGAGCUCAGCACCAACUGCUAUAAUUUACUGACUGGGGGCACAGCCAUAAAUGCUUUCACUUGUGGAGAGAGUACGCUAAUUUCAUGAAGAUUUCAUCUCUGAGUGCUGGGUGAUUACAAUAUAGGACAACACUCUUUUAGAAGACUUUACAAUUAGAUGGACUUGAAUCAAUGAUAGACUGGAUUAAGAAAAUGUGGCACAUAUACACUGUAGAAUACUAUGCGGCCAUAAAAAAGGAUGAGUUCAUAUCCUUUGUACAGACACAGAUGAAGCUGGAAACCAUCAUUCUCAGCAAACUAUCGCAAGAACA
rnacentral:lncRNA from 10 species